ensembl:lncRNA
CCGGAACGACAGGGUGGGGGUCGUCGACGGCACGUGUCGCGUCUGGAUGUGGAUGCGUGGAACAUACUGCUCGAAUGGCUCUCCGGUGACCCUUAUCGGCGAGUCUCUGGGGAUGGGGAUCUCUUGCUCCUCCUAGGAUGCAAAUGAAAUGGCACUAGAAUCGGAGACGACUGCGACCGGUGUAGAGGGAUAGAGGAAAUGAGACCAGACCAGUGGAAGGAGGAUGCGGAUGAGGAAAAGGAAAAUAUACCACUAAAAUCGACAUCAGUACUCUGGUCAGUGCACCACUCUGCUGCCUCCAUCUCUUCAGAGGGAAUCUAUCUGAUCUUUACACCUGGAUCGGCAGCGGCUAUGCAGUCCUUUUUGUUGCACCUUAAAGAACAGUGCAUGCUAGUCACACGCCAACAUGCCAUUUCACACGUCAAUGCAAAGACGAUGUGCUUUGCACAAAUAUAGAAAAAAAAGGAAGAAAUAUACACAUGCACAUCACAGAGAACAGGACACAUGCCAUGAUAGCAAUAUAAUAUCUAUAAAUGAGAAGAGUUAUCUUUCUAAAUACCUGUGUGUGUGUGUGUUUGUGUGUGUGUGUGCGUGCGUUCUGUGUGCGUGGAUGCGUGUUG